rnacentral:rRNA from 1 species
GAUGAACGCUAGCUACAGGCUUAACACAUGCAAGUCGAGGGGCAGCGGUAUCGAAAGCUUGCUUUCGGUAGCCGGCGACCGGCGCACGGGUGAGUAACGCGUAUCGAACCUGCCUCAUACUCGGGAAUAGCCUUGCGAAAGUAAGAUUAAUGCCCGGUGUUUUCAGAGUCCCGCAUGAGGCUUUGAACAAAGAUUUAUCGGUAUGAGAUGGCGAUGCGUCCCAUUAGCUUGUUGGCGGGGUAACGGCCCACCAAGGCAUCGAUGGGUAGGGGUUCUGAGAGGAAGGUGCCCCACAGUGGAACUGAGACACGGUCCAAACUCCUACGGGAGGCAGCAGUGAGGAAUAUUGGUCAAUGGGCGGAAGCCUGAACCAGCCAAGUAGCGUGCAGGAAGACGGCCCUCCGGGUUGUAAACUGCUUUUAGUUGGGAAUAAAACGGGGCUCGUGAGCCCCCUUGCAUGUACCAUCAGAAAAAGGACCGGCUAAUUCCGUGCCAGCAGCCGCGGUAA